GAAACACGGGAGGCAACAACUUUGAUGUUCAGAGAAAUCACUUGGCACUGAGAAAUGACCAAUGACUUGUUACAACAAGGACAGUACAGACCUCUGAGGGACAUCGCUUGUCACUGAUCUCCGUUUGGACAUGGAACAUCUAUGAUACCAUUGAGCUGUCAACCACCACCCUCCGGAUGUGACUACCCAACCAAUUCCUCAUCUGCCAAACAGUUCAUCCAUCAAAUCCAUUCCUCUCCAAUUUUGAGUUCUCAUUUUCAGCUGUUACCUGGCAUGAAUUUGCACAGAAGAACCUCCCCUGUCAUCAGAAGCCAGAAAAAUCCAUUCAGAUUAGGAGACGGAAGGAGAUUUAGAAAGAGAGUCUCUGUUGGAUCAUGCUUGUGCCUUCACAAAAGCCAUAUUUUUAUUAUGCCCUUACAUAACCUGUCCCCUGUUU